CCCUAGAAGUAGCAGUUCACGCU
rnacentral:snRNA from 1 species